rnacentral:lncRNA from 1 species
UAUACUAUACAAAUAUAGAAGUACUCUGAAGUCAUAUUACUGAGCUAGUAUCAUUUAGGUUCCAUAUUUCCUUUAACAUAAAACAGAAAAUUGUAGCUUUUGCAUUUGGAAAGAGUUUAUGUAAAAAAGACAACCUGGAACUCAUGAUCAGAAUCAAAGCAGCAGACUCCUGGUCAGAAUCAAAGAUUGGCCCAGCAUCAAAAGAUUUGCUAAUGAACGUAUAAUGACAGAUUUUUUUCGUAAAAGUAAAGCGCUUAAAUUAUAUAUGUAUAAUUUUUUUUUCUUACAUUUUCCUACUUUAAGUUUGUAGAUGAACUAAAGGACUGCGCAGCUUCAACUCUCUAAGAUAAACUUCCUCUCUUCGUGUGGUUGUCAACUGUGGCAGGUUCAGUGUUUCUCCCACUACAUGAUAUUCUAAGUCAGCAGAGGGCCCUAAACUGGUAACCAGUUUCCAUAAAUUAGAUCAUUUUCCUCUUACAUUUUCUUUUAAACAUUACAGAAGAGAANGCAAAAAUCAAGGCAAUCAACUUUUGGGGAAUUUCUUACAAAGUGAUGCUUUGUUUCAUUAAACAUUCUGAUUCCACCUUACAAAGCCUUUAAUGAUCAACUUUCCUGCACAGCAGCACACUCUCAUCAGACUCUAGUUUAUGUUCUUUAAGACAGAGCAUAAACUAGAAAGCUUAACUUCUGAUUUGGUUUCCAUUUCUGGGAACACUUUAAAACNAAACAAAACACACAUUCUUGGAAUGCAGUCUCAAGGAGACUGUUAUGGGGUGAUCCCUGGGUCCCACAGAAAAUAUUU